GAAAUUAUCGUCCUCGGCGGCCAGCAGGGCGCUGAUGAAUUCCUUGGGAAUUUCGUCGAAACGAAUCGGCGAGCGGCGCAUCUCGCCGAACUCGGCGAUCAGCUUGGCAUCGCUGCUGUAGACGCGCAGGGGGAUCUGCAGCUGCACCUGGCGCAGCGACUCGACGGAGGGAAGGGUCGGACUAAGAUAAAGAAACGCGCCGCUGAAACUGAGCAACAGCCCACAGAAAACGGCAACGCAAGACCACCAGAAGAACUUCAGCAGGCGUAUCAAAAUGUUCGGAAUUCCAAGUAAA
rfam:Pseudomonas sp. EGD-AK9 Contig_117, whole genome shotgun sequence.